GACGAACGCUGGCGGCGUGCCUAAUACAUGCAAGUCGAGCGGAACUGGGGGAGCUUGCUCCUUCCAGUUUAGCGGCGGACGGGUGAGUAACACGUGGGCAACCUGCCCUGCAGAUCGGGAUAACUUCGGGAAACCGGUGCUAAUACCGAAUAGUUUGGCGCCUCUCCUGAGGCGCUACGGAAAGACGGUUUCGGCUGUCACUGCAGGAUGGGCCGGCGGCGCAUUGGCUAGUUGGUGGGGUAACGGCCCACCAAGGCGACGAUGCGUAGCCGACCUGAGAGGGUGACCGGCCACACUGGGACUGAGACACGGCCCAGACUCCUACGGGAGGCAGCAGUAGGGAAUCUUCCGCAAUGGACGCAAGUCUGACGGAGCAACGCCGCGUGAGUGACGAAGGUUUUCGGAUCGUAAAACUCUGUUGUGAGGGAAGAACACGUACCAACUAACUAUUGGUACCUUGACGGUACCUCACCAGAAAGCCACGGCUAACUACGUGCCAGCCGCCGCAGUAA
rnacentral:rRNA from 1 species